rnacentral:tRNA from 1 species
GGAGUUGUGGCUCAGCGGUAGAGCGCUCAUCUAGCACGUGUGAGGCCCUGUGUUCAAUCCUUAGCACCA